GUGUGAAAUGUUGGGUUAAGUCCCGCAACGAGCGCAACCCUUAUCCUUUGUUGCCAGCGGUCCGGCCGGGAACUCAAAGGAGACUGCCAGUGAUAAACUGGAGGAAGGUGGGGAUGACGUCAAGUCAUCAUGGCCCUUACGACCAGGGCUACACACGUGCUACAAUGGCGCAUACAAAGAGAAGCGACCUCGCGAGAGCAAGCGGACCUCAUAAAGUGCGUCGUAGUCCGGAUUGGAGUCUGCAACUCGACUCCAUGAAGUCGGAAUCGCUAGUAAUCGUGGAUCAGAAUGCCACGGUGAAUACGUUCCCGGGUCUUGUACACACCGA
rnacentral:rRNA from 1 species